rnacentral:rRNA from 1 species
ACGCUCGACACCUACGGAGGCAGCAGUCGGGAAUAUUGCGCAAUGGAGGAAACUCUGACGCAGUGACGCCGCGUAUAGGAAGAAGGUUUUCGGAUUGUAAACUAUUGUCGUUAGGGAAGAUACAAGACAGUACCUAAGGAGGAAGCACCGGCUAACUAUGUGUCAGCAGCCGCGGUAAUCUGAGCGGGCUGGCAAGGC